rnacentral:rRNA from 1 species
UUAAGUUUCAACCUUGCGGUCGUACUUCCCAAGUGGCUCGCUUCACGGCUUCCCUACGGCACCGCAACAAUUCACGACUGUUGCGACACCUAGCGAGCAUCGUUUACGGCUAGGACUACCCGGGUAUCUAAUCCGGUUCGUGCCCCUAGCUUUCGUCCCUCACCGUCGGACCUGUUCUGGUAGGACGCCUUUCGCCACCGGUGGUCCCCAGAGGAUUACAGGAUUUCACUCCUACCCCCUGAGUACCUCCUACCUCUCCCAGUCCCAAGCAAUGUAGUACCCCCCGGCCGACCAACGGUUAAGCCGCUGGAUUUCCCGAGAGACUUGCAAAGCCGGCUACGGACCCUUUAGACUCAAUAAUAUCGGCCACCACUCGAGCCGCCGGUAUUACCGCGGCGGCUGGCACCGGUCUUGCCCGGCCCUUGCUAACACCCGCUUUUUAGGCGGAUGGACAGCCCACCAAUAUGAUGAGCACUCGAUGUUCCCCUAUCGCAGUUGCCUGCAUUGUAAAGUUUUCGCGCCUGCUGCGCCCCGUAGGGCCUGGAUUCGUGUCUCAGAAUCCAUCUCCGGGCUCUUGCUCCCACAACCCGUACUGAUUACAGGCUUGACGGUACGUUACACCGGCAACAACCUAAUCAGCCGCAGACCCAUCCAAAAGCCCCAAAGGUUUCAGCCAAACAGCCUUCCAGCCCGAAUGACCUAUCCGGUAUUAUCCCCAGUUUCCCGGGGUUAUCCCAGACUCUUGGGUAGGUUAUCC